UACAGAGGGGGCAAGCGUUGUUCGGAAUUACUGGGCGUAAAGCGUGCGUAGGUGGUUCGUUAAGUCUGAUGUGAAAGCCCUGGGCUCAACCGGGGGAAGUGCAUCUGAAACUGGCGAGCUAGAGUACGAAAGAGGGUCGCGGAAUUCCCGGUGUAGAGGUGAAAUUCGUAGAUAUCGGGAGGAACACCGGUGGCGAAGGCGGCGACCUGGGUCGAUACU
rnacentral:rRNA from 1 species